AAAACUACACACCAUCCCUCCCUGUACUGUCUGCUUUCCAAGGAAUCUAAAGCUCUUCACAGAAACUAAAAUGCACUGUUAUUCUGUUUAUUCUACUUUCUAUUUAUUUCUCUAUAAUGAGGCAACUCUUGGGGUGACAUUGUCCUGUAAUCCCUAUUCCCCUUUCACAGAGGGAUGAGGAGAAGCCAAGGCUGUAACUUGCCAACAGUCCCCAAUGCCAAGGCAUGCAAAUCUCAUGACCGAAUUGUGACCUAUGGUCUUAACCCUUAGAUCACAGUUUCUCUUCAAAAGCCAAGUCACAAGAGGAAAACAAAAGAGUUCCUGUCAAUAUCUCUUUGCAACGACUACACCACUUUAGUUUUUGAGUCAGACUACUGAGGAUCAAGGAAGGAGCUGCUGUAACACAGCUGAAGUCACAGAUACAUAACAGUGAUGGUAUAAAACAGCUGAAUAGAACAAGAGCAAGAGAGAAGCACACCAACAUCCCUGCCCAGUGCAGAAGUCUCCUGAGAACUUGCUGUGGGCAUGAAAGAGAAGCAAUGCACAAGAUCUGAGGAAAACUGGAGAGCUAAGUGUCGAGAGAAGCAGAAAGAAGAAAAUAUUCUAUCUUGGUACUUAGGGAGAUUCAACAUAUGGCUGUGUGUUAGGAGAGUGUGGUCAGAACUGAGCAGUGUGUGCUGGAAUGAGGAACCCUCAGAACUUGGAUUUGGUCUGAAGAGCAUCAUCACAUAUGUCUGUUUGCAUUUUUAUGAAUAAAUCAAAAGAUAGAUGACAACUAUGUAUCUAAUAGGAAAGCCCUGUGUUUUAAAAACUGUUUUAAUUGA